GACGAACGCUGGCGGCGUGCCUAAUACAUGCAAGUAGAACGCAGUUGCGAACGGGUGAGUAACGCGUAGGUAACUGCCUCAUAGCGGGGGAUAACUAUUGGAAACGAUAGCUAAUACCGCCUACUGUGAGAUGGACCUGCGUUGUAUUAGCUAGUUGGUGAGGUAAAGGCUCACCAAGGCGCCGAUACAUAGCCGACCUGAGAGGGUGAGCGGACAAACGGGGACGGAGACACGGCCCAGACGCCUUCGGGAAGCAGCAGUAGGGAAUCGUCGGGCAGGGACGGAAGGCUGACCGAGCAACGCCGCGGGAGGGGAGAAGGUUUUCGGAGCGUAAAGCUCGGUUGUGAGAGAAGCGGGAACUAACCAGAAAGGGACGGCUAACUACGGGCCAGCAGCCGCGGGAAUUC
rnacentral:rRNA from 1 species